CUUAAGAAGUAGCAACAUAAAACAAAUAAGUUCUUUGACUUCUUUUAUGUCUUUUAUGUUUUUGUUUUUUUUAGUUUUAUCAAUUAAACUCCAAAAAGAUCAUAGGCAGACACUUAUCUAAUAGUGUUUCUGCCAGAUUCUUAUUUUUGGGAACAUUGUCCCGAGUCCCUGUUGCAGUGAAAGCUUAGUCCCAAAGGAAAUUUAAUUAAAUCCAUCUUCUUAGAAACUGUUGGUUGGUAGUGCAUGAAUGUCUUAAGAGAUGUUUGGGGAUGGAAAGUAAAACACAACCUUAGUAGUACCCACGGCUUUACAAAACACAACCAUCGGCUUAAAAAAAGAGUUCUUUAGACAGAAAACAGCUAUUUCUGUAGUUAUGAAAAUUGAUGGAUGGAUAAACGACCAUCAGCUUACAAAAUAGUCUUAAGACAAAGGCUAUGAGUUGGUUUUGUACUUGUUGGAUGGAAAAUAACACACACCUUAGUAGUACCCACGGCUUUACAAAACACAACCAUCGGCUUAAGAAAAAAAAAGAGUCCUUUAGACAGAAAACAGCUAUUUCUAUAGCUAUAAAACUUGAUGGAUGGAUAAACGACCAUCAGCUUACAAAAUAGUCUUAAGACAAAGGCUAUGAGAGUUGGUUUUGUACUUGUUGGAUGGAAAAUAAUAACACACACCUUAGUAAUACCCACGGCUUUACAAAACACAACCAUUGGCUUAGAAAAAAGAGUUUUUUAGACAGAAAACGGCUAUGUCUAUAGCUAUGAAAAUUGAUGGAUGGAUAAACGACCAUCAGCUUACGAAAUAGUCUUAAGACAAAGGCUAUGAGAGUUGGUUUUGUACUUGUUGGAUGGAAAAUAACACACACUUUAGUAGUACCCACGGCUUUACAAAAUACAACCAUCGGCUUAAGAAAAAAAAAAGAGUUCUUUAGACAGAAAAUGGCUAUUUCUAUAGCUAUGAAACUUGAUGGAUGGAUAAACGACCAUCAGCUUACAAAAUAGUCUUAAGACAAAGGCUAUGAGUUGGUUUUGUACUUGUUGGAUGGAAAAUAACGACCACGAGCCAUGAAAACUAAUUGUCCCGAGUCCCGUUGUGUGAACUUGUUGGAUGGAAAAUAACGACCACAAGUCACCUUCGUACCCACGGCUUUAACAAAACAACCAUUGGCUUAAAAGAAAUGUCUUUAGACAGAAAAUGGCUAUGUCUAUAGCUAUGAAAAUUGAUGGAUGUAUAAACGACCAUCAGCUAACAAAAUAGUCGUAAGACAAAGGCUAUGAGUUGGUUUUGUACUUGUUGGAUGGAAAAUAAAGACCACAAAUCAUGAAAACUAAGUGUCCCGAGUCCCGUUGCGUGAACUUGUUGGAUGGAAAAUAACGACCACAAGUCAUGAAAAGUAAUGUCCCGAGUCCCGUUGGUAUUGUACGGUUUGAGAGAAGUCUUCAGACAAAGACUCUAAAUCUAAACCCCAGGUCCAUUGCUUAACCACAGCUCUAUGAGCAAAGGAUACUUGAGGAUGUGAAGUGUGAGAAAAUUUAGUACCAACGGCUUAUUAAAAGACAGAGUUUGUGAAUGAAAAUGUCUUCAUCACGUACGUUAGUACCCACGGCUUAUGAACAAGCUUUUAGACAGAGUUUGUAAAACUACCAACGGCUUAAAGACAACUGUUUAGACAGAGAAUGUGAUUGUAAGAAAGUCUUUAGACAGAGACUAUUCAUCACAUUAGUACCCAUGGCUUGCAAGAAAGUCUUUUGAUAAAGACAUUGUAAAACUACCACUCGCUUAAAAAAGACAACUGUUUAGACAGAAAAUGUGAUUGUAAAAAAGUCUUUAGAUAGAGACUGUAUUCAUAACAUAGUACCCACGGCUUGCAAAUGACUGAAUCUGUUUUUGAAUACAUCAUCAGAUUUGUACCCACGGCUUGCAAAAAAGGUCUUCAGGCAAAGACUGUUUUUGAAUACAUCAUCAGAUUUCUACCCACGGCUUUGAAAAAAAAGUUAUAGACAAAGGCUAUGAGAUCGUCAUAAUGGCUUUAAAGAAUCAUCAACCGUUUCUUUCUUUUUUUACCACAAGUUAUCAAUUUUCUCAAUCUCUGAACUUUUUUUUUCUUUCCAGGUGAAACCGAGUCAUGUUCUUUUAGCUGUCAGACUCUUAAAGCUUCAGUUAUCAAAGUGUUGAAGGUUGCAACAUGGACGACACAUAUGAAGUCUAGAAUCCUUGUAGUGGAGAUGCAUAUCAACAGAAGGGUGCAGCCGAGCCAGCUCCUGCUACAGCAGGUACUUAAGCACCGUUUAGGAGAAACAUACAUGAAGUGAACUAGUUAUAUUUGUUUAGGUAUGGGCUUCACAAACUGUUCAUAUCCUCAUUGACGCUUGUUCAGGUAUAUGUUUACCUUCACUUUUUUCUCUUACAAAAUUAUAUUAUUACGCCCCAUUUUAAGAUUAUAUAUGUUUUAUUAAGCUAGCUCGACAACGUUUCUCUCACUGAUUUAGCAUCCAUGAGAUUCUAUACACUGACUGCUAACAAAUCCACUGAUGAGCAAGUAGAUUCUUUUUUAAUAUUGGAACAUUACAUUGUGUUUCAGUGUUUAAUCUCUAUUCUUAAUUUGGUGCUUGUACGUAUGAGAAGGUCUUUUAAUUUUAUAAAAGUUGAUGUAUCUUAAAGUCUCUGGUAGAGAAACGUAGGUGAGAAAUUCCUGCAAACUGUGCUAGUAGUUUCUUUGAAUCUUGAAUGUUUUUUAUUUGGGUCAUGCGUUUAACCCUCAUUUGUCAGUCUAAACAUGUUAGAAUCUUAUAUUUUUGGUGCUUGUAUGUAUUAUAUGAUCUCUCAUUUUAUGAAAUCUAUGUAUCUUAGAUUCUCUGAUAGAUCAACAUAAGUGAGAGAUUACAUCAUGUUGUUGUGCGUAGUAGUUAUGUUUGAAUCUUUAUGAAUGUUUCUAUUUUGUGUUAUGAUCUUAGCCCUCAGUGAUAAAUAACUCUAAACGGUGCUUUUAUAUCUUUAGUUUGGUGCUUUUAUAUAUUUUAGAGUCUCUUGUAGAUCAAACAGGCGAAACUCCUACAGAUUGUGUGAGUAGUUUCAUUGAAUUUUGAAUGUUCUCUGUUUUUGUGUUAUGCUCCUCCUACUCUCAUUGAUCAUACUAAACUGUGUUGUUAUCUGUAUGUUGCUUAGAGAAAGGUUAUUAUUCUAAAUUAGUUUGGUGCUUCUGUGUAUUAUAAAGUAUCUUGUUUCUUAUAAAGUCACUUCUAGAUCAACGUAUAUGAGAGAGACUCCUGCAGAAUGUGGUCGUAGAUUCCUUUUUUCUUGAAUGGUUCUGUUUUGUGUUAUACACUUAACCCUCACAGACCAUUGUAAACAUGUGAAAUGACAUCUUCACAACUCUGCAUAGUAGGCUAAUGAUUACUGUGUUAGAUUCUAUAAAUUGUAUAUGUUGAAUUGAGCUUUUACAGUGAUUGAAAAUUUCUCGUUAUCAAGUCUAUAUCUUUGUCUCCGAGUCUUGGCAACAUUUCUGUCGAUCAACACAAAGGCAUUAUAUAAAUUAUAUACGUUGACUUGAGCUUUUACAGUGAUUGAAAAUUCCUCUGUUAUCACUAUAUCUUUGUCUGCAAGUCUUAGCAACAUUUGUGUCGAUCAACACAAAGGCAUUAACAUGAUAAAUCAAACAUAAUUUUUAGAUGCAUAGACAUGCUUCUUCUGGUCCUCCACGGACACAAAUGCAGCUUUCAAAAAAUAUUAGAUUGUUAGUAUGAACAGAGGAAUGUAUGAGUAAACUAAAUAUACCUAAUGAAGAGACUCUUAGGUCCUUGAAUCAUAUAGACACUUUAGAGUUCUACUUACCAAGAUGGGUUCUUCAUUUUUUCGAGUGUGCAAGUCCUUGAUGGAUGUUCUAGUGUAUUUCUUUGAUCAAUGCAAGAUAGCUUAUUACAUCAAACACAAAGAAUCAAUCAAAAGCAUAUUUGGAAGUAUAAAUCAAUCAAAUAAGCAAAAUGAACAAUCAUAUUAAGUUCAAGGCUCACCUUCCCUGGUUUGAAUUGGAUUUAAAAUUUAGUUUCUUUGGGGUUUCUUUAAAACUUUUUUGCAUCCCUUAAGAACAGAACAGCUUUGCAAACAGAUUCUGGUUCAAUAAUCUUGCACCAAACCUUCAUUCAAGCAAUGAUAUUUACAUUUUUAGCAAAAAAAAAAAAUUACUUACCAAGAUCAAAGAAACGUUUAUAUGUUUUGAUGAAGCCCAAUAGUUUCUAUCGUAGUUUUACCAAGAUCAAAUAAACGUUUAUAUGUUGUGAUGAAACCCAAUAGUUUCUAUCGUAGUUUAUAAGUCGAAAUACAUAAGACAAAACUUUAUUUAGUUUAGUUAGUAGACAUAAUACUAAUCUAUGUUAUGACUUGGUUUUGUGUUUCUAUGUUUCAAGGUGACUGCCCAUGUUAUGAGCCGAAGUACAAGGAAGGAAAAUCUGUUCUUGAACUGCGCGAGACCUUUCUUGAUUUUUUUUUAUCAAGCAAAUUACAUUACAAAGUUAUUACAUAAACAGAGGUUUAAUCCCAUAUGUUCAUAUUUAUUAUGUAUUUUUUUUUGCCAAAAUGUGAAUUUUCAUAUUAAAUGAUGCAUGAUUGUAAAGAUACAAUAAGUUUUAGAUAUUUCUAGAGGUUGCCUUGGCAAAAAUAAUAAAAACAAGGCUAGUUCUAGGCA